GUUAAAAUGAUUAUUGGAAAGUUUGAAAGAUGUUUCAUGUCACAAGAAACAUCUCAGAAAGUUUGCAAGCAAUUAUCAAGAACAAAGGUUCGAGAGAGAGAACCCUGGGAAGGAGAUUGGGCGCACUGCAAUUCCAGACUGACAAGAAACUGCUGCACCUUGCAACGUCUCGAUCGCCUUUAGAU